GGAGUGAGCCAAGAGUGAAGGCACAUGGAUGCAAUAAUCAACCUGUCCCGUUUUAUGGGACGCCAGGGAAUUAUAUUCUGAAUCAAACCUGUGGUCCCUUGAAGUAGUCAGUGAUAAAAAGCAGAGGAAUCCUGCAGAUAUCACGUUUGUGGACCAAGUGGCCAUCUGAGCAGCUGAGUUGCCAUGCAGGCGACACACACAGGGCAGAUCCUCUGUCACCCUACUCCAGAAGCAAAUAGAGAUACUGGUAGGAGAUCAAGGGUAUCUCUCUUCUCAUGAAAGCUUGUGACAAAGCAGGGGCAAAGCAACCAACCUCAAAAGAGGGCAAUGCUACUUAGAAGGAGAACCAAAGAGAAUGUCUUUGUAAA